rnacentral:rRNA from 1 species
UACAGAGGUCCCAAGCGUUGUUCGGAUUUACUGGGCGUAAAGGGCGCGUAGGUGGCGAAGUAAGUCGGAUGUGAAAUCUCCGAGCUCAACUCGGAAAUGGCAUUGGAAACUACUUUGCUCGAGGGUCGGAGGGGGGACUGGAAUUCUCGGUGUAGCAGUGAAAUGCAUAGAUAUCGAGAGGAACACCAGUGGCGAAGGCGAGUCCCUGGACGACUCCUGACACUGAGGCACGAAAGCUAGGGGAGCAAACAGG